rnacentral:SRP_RNA from 1 species
GCCGGGCGUGGUGGCACACGCCUGUAGUCCCAGCUACUUGGGAGGCUGAGGCAGAAGAAUCGCUUGAACCCAGGAAGUGGAGGUUGCAGUGAGCCAAGAUCGCGCCACUGCACUCCAGCCUGGGCGAUAGAGCAAGACUCUGUCUCAA